CUUGAUCGUAGUGGGAAGAGGUUGUACGGAAACGCUUACACUAACAACAUUUUGCUCUACAUUUUGUUAAGGCUUUGCCUGUGUAUUCUUGGUCUCUGCUGGCUUUACCUGGUUAAGCUCUGCCUGCCCUGAAAUGACUGCACAGAAUCAGCCUGUUUUUGUUCUGCCUGUGAGGGCUUGGCCAGAGUUGGAGUAGGAAAGAGAGUCUCGCCCUGAGGUACAGUAAUUUCCUCCCUUUCACGUCUGCAGCGAUCUGGAUCAUUGCUGUAAUGGUGACCCUGACUGCAUUCUCCGUCUCCUCACUCGACCUCCCCAAAGCUGUUGCUACUGCAGUGACUACAGUGCUCAACAGGAGAGUUAUGUCUUCCUCAUCAAAGAGGAGUUGGUCGGCUGUUGGGAAGGAUCUUUAUUCCACUGGCUCUUUUUCUGUACACUUGUAGUGGCCGAAAGUUUUUGUUGGUGUCCAAUGUCGGCUGGGGAGUGCUUCAUUCCUCUUAAGGGGUGGGGAGCCUCUUGGCACAGUUGGAACAUUUGGCUGUUGUGUCCCUUUGGCCUUUGGGCUUGGCCUUGCAGCUUGCUUGGUGGUGAUCAUAUUUCUGACACUGAAAUAGCUCAGCCACAAUAGGUUUUUAGGCAGUAAGAGCCCCUGUUACCCAAAUCAAGAGUGGUGAUUGGAGCACCUUCCAGGGUCACCAGGACUUGCCCUGCUGGGAUCUCUUCCCUUUCGACAUUCGGGAAGCCCCACGACCUGUGGGUAGGAUGUAAUCAGGUGUGAGAUACACACUUUCUUUCCAUCUUUAAGCUCCUUUGUUUCCUGCAGGAAAUUCAGGGUAGCUUGAACUUGAUCAUGUCCUGGUCUCUGGCAACCCAGCUUGUCAACUGGAUUUGUUUUUGCAUCUCCAGUACUCUCACCAAUUGGUAGGUAUUGCCGAAGCCGUCAGGUUUAUACCGUGGAAAACACCUAGAAAGUCUACUCUUUCUCAGAGUCUGCCUCCGGCCUUGGUCGUUUCAGACCGCCCCCUCGCAUGGAUUCUGGUUUUUGCCAUGUCAUGGGAGCAGCU